GGCAGGGAGGAGGUUCAGAAGGUCCCACUGACCGGUCUGAGGGAUCUGUUCUUCCCUGUGGAAGGUCUUGGACCACCGCAGCACUUUUCCUCACUUUCAAACCUGCAAACAUGAUUAUCAGACUGGGAAGACUGACUCCCGGAUACUUCCGCCUCCUGCAGAGACAAGUUGCUGGCGAGGUGCAGGCGCAGCCACAAGACCGCGGCGUAAACCAGAUAGCCAUGAUGCUGGCCAUCUUGGGUCUGAGUUUGUCCUACUACAGUGCCAAACAGAUGACGGAGAAUGUCCACGUCCAGCCUGCACCCUGAGGACACUGGAACCAGCCAACGAACCAACAAUAGGUGGAGGGGAGAAUGAAAGUGGAGACAGCCAUGUCUCUCAGGACCAUAAAUUUAAUCUUUUUUAACUAACAUACACUCAGUUUCUGGGGCUGCUCGUUACUGAUUUCCAUACUUUCUGUUGCUAGGACCUUAAGGGAUUUGACGGGGGAUUAAUUCCCACCGAGAACUGGUUUUAUUGACCGGUUUAGGUGGGUUGUCAAAAACCAGCACACUGCCAACUGUCUGAGCAUCAGUCUUUACAGAGGUUCAGGCCUGCAGGAUGCCAUCAGUUCUGUGGAAACGUGUCCCGUUCGCUGCAGCUGAUGGCGGAUGAGCCGCUCCUCGUAACAAAGUGAUGACAGACCCAGAACACG